UCGGAGGUGUGGGGAGGCAGACACCUAGGUCCGGGAGGAGGAUUAGUUGGAGUAACCAGAGGGGACUCCCCAGGGGCAUCUCCCGGCUCUGGGAACCUACCUGAAGGCCUUCUCCUCUAGAGCUGGCCCAUGCAGAGCUUCACAGCUGUAUCAUGGAGUACUACUGAAAAUUUCAUAUGAAGGUAUGCCUCAAAUGAUUUCUUACACAAGAAUUUCUCCCUAUACCUUGAAAUAACUAAAUGAUUACCAUGAGGAAAUGCAAGUUUGGAAAGAAGACCCGCAAAAUGAAAGUGUUAAAAUGCAAACAACUUCUAUAUUAUUGCAAAUGCAAAAUCACCAUCACUAUCCUUUGACUGACUCUUAAGGGGUCUUUUCAAACAGAUGCUAUUUAUGAACAUCAUCUGUUAACUUCUUUCUUGUAAUUCAAAACUCUCGUCAAAUGAUG